rnacentral:rRNA from 1 species
GAUGAACGCUAGCGGGAGGCCUAACACAUGCAAGCCGAGCGGUAUUUCUUCUUCGGGAGAGAGAGAGCGGCGUACGGGUGCGGAACACGUGUGCAACCUGCCUUUAUCUAGAGGAUAGCCUUUCGAAAGGAAGAUUAAUACUCUAUAAUAUAUUAAUUGGCAUCAAUUGAUAUUGAAAACUCCGGUGGAUAGAGAUGGGCACGCGCAAGAUUAGCUAGUUGGUGAGGUAACGGCUCACCAAGGCAAUGAUCUUUAGGGGGCCUGAGAGGGUGAUCCCCCACACUGGUAAUGAGAGACGGACCAGACUCCUACGGGAGGCAGCAGUGAGGAAUAUUGGUCAAUGGGUGCAAGCCUGAACCAGCCAUCCCGCGUGAAGGAUUAAGGUCCUAUGGAUUGUAAACUUCUUUUGUAUAGGGAUAGACCUACCCUCGUGAGGGUAGCUGAAGGUACUAUACGAAUAAGCACCGGCUAACUCCGUGCCAGCAGCCGCGGUAA